CAGCUGCAUCCCUUGCAGAGCUGCUAUUCCUUCUCUUGGUUUCUUCAGUGCUCCAGGCAAAAGGAGAUUUUAAAACCACUCCUUUAUCUAGCACAGUUAAUUUCUCCACCCUGUACCAGCUCAGCUUCUCUGGCAGAACCUGCUCCGUACGCAGAGAGAUCCAGGCAGGGAAGGAGAAGGUGACACUGUGUUUACGUAACUCAGCUCUACCAGCGCUGCCACUUCUGUCGUGUUAGGAUACCUGUAUCCCCCAGGUAUUUUUGUUACUAGAACAAAUCCUGCCUGGAACUACUGCUGGGAUCUGUGGUCAUUUCAUCCUCACUCUAAACAGUUCCCUCUGGAGAAAAGACAAUGGAAAAGAGAAAUGCAGCAGCAACCUUUGGGCAUUCAGCUUCUUCCUUAUUCCCAGCACGGUGUAGGAUCUGCCAUCUGAUCUUCC